AGCUUCGCGCAGUGACGAUAUCGUGACCAAUGAGAUUUUACCGAGGUGUGGUUAUUGCUAGUUGAAAAAAACAUCCUAUUUAAUAGUGUAUCAUGUUUUCUACAAGAAAUUUGGAACAGUUUUUUUUUUGAUAAUGGUUUAU